AGAGAAAACUUGCGAAGUUUAGGAUGGAGCUGAAGAGACUGGGUUCCGUCCUACGGUGGGAUUUCUUUCCGUGCUCGCGCGUUCAGCCCCAAGUCUCAGGGCCACUCGUCUGGGAAGUUGUAGAAUCUGUAUAGCCAACCUACACAACCUCCAAGGGGCCUUUGGACAGGACCAUCAGCUUUUUCCUUGCCUUCGGACUUGAAUUAAACAUCAUCUCUUCCUUGGCGUCAAGCCUGCUGCCAUCAGACUGGAACUAAACCAUCAGCUCUCAUGGGACUCCAUCUUGCUGACUUAUCCUGCAGAUCUUGGGAUUUAACCGCCUCCAUAAUCACGAAUCCUCCCUCCAGGUCACUGGGAGCUUCAAUUCCUUAGAAGAAAGAAAGAGAUGACUCCUGCUUCAUAGUCCAGGAAAAUCCCCACACACCGUGGAGGCUCUUUAAGGCGGAAGGAGGUCUGCGGGGAUGUGAGAGCUUCAUACUCAUUCCCACGACUCUGUCGCAGAAGCCAGUGUCCAUUGGCAGAUAAGGCAAAGGCACACCAUGAUGAGAAGUACCAGGACAGGCAGGAUCACAGCCAGAGCCACUGCUGAGGGGGAGAGACUCCCCACAGAUGGGGCUGAAACAGAAACCACCAACGACUGACCUCAGGGAGAUGUCUAAGAGCUUCUGGCAUGCCUCAGAUGGCAGGCGGCUCCAGCACAUCCCAACACUCUCCAUCACCUCUAGGGAGAGAGCUCCGGCCAAGAGGCUCUUUGCUUCUCUGAUAACUCAAGCCCUGGAUAGCAUUAAAGAUAACUGAGGCUGGGAACGGUGGCUCACGCCUGUAAUACCAGCACUUUGGGAGGCAGAGGCAGGAGGAUCAUCUGAGAUCAGGAGUUCAAGACCAGCUGGCCAAUGUGGGGAAACUCCGUGUCUACUAAAAAUACAAAAAUUAGCCAGGUGUGGUGGCGGGCACCUGUAAUCCCAGCUCUUCAGGAGGCUGAGGCAGGAGAAUCCCUUGAACCCGGGAGGCAGAGGUUGCAGUGAGCCAAGGUCACACCAUUGUACUCCAGCCUGGGUGACAAGAGUGAAACUCCAUCUCAAAAACAAACAAACAAACAAACAAACAAAAACUGAGAUGUUCCUCUCUCGGGAAUGGUUUGGAUGGUCCUGCCUCAAGAUGAUGACUUAAACAAACUUCUUGACCACAAUCUCAUCCUGCCCUAUAAUUCAAUGGAAAAAUAAGCCCGGGACUUCAGAGGACUGAAGGCACUCUCCUCACUACACACCUCCAGUCUUCCCAGGAGCACCUGCCUGUUUACCCCUGUCAAUCCUCACUCUGCUCUAGAAGAGCAGGCAGCAACCUCUUUGCCCUGAGCACUGUCCACGGGGGCAAAGCAAUUUCUAUGAUGCCGCAGCAGUAGGCCUGAAGCCUAGGCAGGAGAGAAAGGGGAAAAGAAAGAGGAAAUAGAGGAGAGGAAACGAGCAGAAGCGGGCUAUGGGUAGAAGUAGUUAAGAGCCUAAGCUGGGAGUAUGUCCUUGCUCAAUGCUGUGUGACCCAAAGCAGGAGACUGAGCACCUCCCAGCCCAUUGUCCCUCAUCUGUAAAAUGUGUGCAUGACAGGACUCCUUAUCUCUUUGAGGUUUGGAGAGAUUUAAAGAGGUCAGUCAUAUAAAGCAUUCAGUCUCCUAAGUAGCCGGGAUUACAGGCACAUGCCACCAUGCCUGGCUAGUUUUUGUAUUUUUUUGGUAGAGACAAGGUUUUGCCAUGUUGGCCAGGCUGGUCUCCAGUUCGUUUCAAGGAUCAUUAAAAGGUUCAGGCCAGGUGUGGUGACUCACACCUGUAAUCCUAGCACUUUGGGAGGCUGAAGCAGGAGUAUCACUACAGCUCAGGAGUUUCAGACCAGCCUGGGCAGCAUGGUGAGAGCUCAUCUUUAUUAUAAAUAAAAAAGAAAAAAUAAGUAAAAGGUUUGAACCCUUGGACCCAUUAAUUCUACUGCCAGAAGUACAUUAUUAAAAAAAAAAUCAAAAUCACUUUCCAAAAUACGUUCAAAGAUGUUCAUUGCACCCUUCAUUAUAAUAUGAGGAAAAUUUGGAAAGCAUCCAGAUGCCCAGAAACAGGGCUUUGAUUAAUUUUAUUAUUCUAUAGCCACAUGGCAAAAUACUAUGCAGCCCUUAAAAUCAUAUUACUUAGGGACAUGGGCAAAGAAAACAAAUGCUCAUGAUAUCAUAAGUGGAAAAAUAUCCUGGGCACAAGAAUACACAUGUGUAAACAUACAUGCUCAGAGAUACAUAUAUACAAAAAAGUCUUGCAAGAAAGAUACAAAAAUGUUAGCAGCAGUUCUCUCUAAUUUAAGCUAUUAUAGGCCAUUUUUCAGUUUCCUUUAAAUAUUUUGGAUUUUUUUCAAAUUUUCUACAAUAUAUAUGCUUUAUUCUUAGAAUUUAAAAAAAUUGAAAAUUCCUCAAAAAGUUCCUGCUAGGGUAGGAAUUUCCUCAGGAACCACCAGCGCCUUCAAACCUGUUUCCACCCCAGCUUUUACUUGUUAUGACCACAGCUGUGGUCUUCUCUUGGCCAAGGGCCAUGUUGUGGAUGGUUCAGGACACAUUCCCCAGUGUGCUGUCCCUGACUCUGCUAGACACUGCUAUUUGGAAGAGCCCAGCUUUUUCCAGAGAGUGGGCCUCUGACAGGGAUGGAAGUACCCUGCCUUGAGGUUCUCUCCACUUGGCCCAGGGCUCUGGGAACCAUCCCACCUAUCUGCACACCAGCAGGGCCUCUGCCAGGGUAUGGUCCUGGCCAUGGCCCUCUUCCCCCAUAGCCUCCUGUGAUGAACAGGGGCAGCUGUUAAUGGAACUUGUCCUCUCUCCACUCUCUCCCCACGCUCCUCCUAAUGGGAUAAGCCAGUCUCUAGCUUUAUUCUCAGACAUUUAAAAAUUCACCCAUAGCAAUAACUGUAUCACAUGAUUCAGAUUCCUGUGGGCACCUCGGUCCCCUUUUAAAAAUUACUUUUCAGCUGGGCAUGGUGGCUCAUGCCUGUAAUUCCAGCACUUUGGGAGGCUGAGGUGGGAGGAUCACCUGAGGUCGGGAGAUUGAGAUCAGCCUGACCAACAUGAAGAAACCCCGUCUCUACUAAAAAUACAAAAAUUAGCCGGGCGU
ensembl:lncRNA ZNF691-DT ZNF691 divergent transcript